ACGAAGGAUGCAAGCGUUAUCCGGAUUCAUUGGGUUUAAAGGGUGCGUAGGCGGAUUGGUAAGUCAGUGGUGAAAGCCCAUCGCUUAACGAUGGAACUGCCAUUGAUACUGCCGAUCUUGAGUACAAAUGACGUUGGCGGAAUAUGACAUGUAGCGGUGAAAUGCUUAGAUAUGUCAUAGAACACCGAUUGCGAAGGCAGCUGACGAAACUGUAACUGACGCUGAGGCACGAAAGUGCGGGGAUCAAACA
rnacentral:rRNA from 1 species